UUCAAGUUGGAUGGGUUCCUGCUAAAUAAUUAGCUGUAAAGUGGAAGCUAGGUGCUGGCAAUUUCUUAGCUAAGCUAUCUAUACUGAACAAAAAUAUAAACGCAACAUGUAAAGUGUCUGCCAUCUGUCCUGUACAGUUGAAAUCCGGAUUCAUCUGAGCAUACUUCUCCAGCCUGCCAGUGGCCAACAAAGGUGAGCAUUUGCCUACUGAAAUCGGUAAUGACCCUGAGCUGCAGUCAGAUCAAGAGCCUGGUGAGGACAACAAGCACGCAGAUGAGCCCCAACGCAGCUUUGCGGACUGCUCCAUUGACAAUUAAUGACUUCUGUCAGAACGCAAAGAGUUUGAUGCAUCUGGUGGAAAUGAGACUUAAUGCUUCGUUUACAUUUCCCAUAAGCGCCAUUUACUUGCGCCAGAUGUCAUGCAUUUCAAUGGGGACGUCGGUAACAGAGUGGAAUCGCAACUCCCCCUUGCGGUUGAAGGCUCUGUUGCGAGACGGACACUGCAUAUUUUGACAUUUUCCAAACUUUGCAUCGUCUCAACCCACAAGAGAAGAUGAAAAUGUGGUUUUCCCUGAUGUCUUUAUGGGAUAGCUAUCACAUUGUAAACCAUUACACAUUCCUAUAAACAUUGAUGCGCAAGAAGAGACCCUCUGUGGAAAAAAGCAAAAGUGCUGCUCCACCAGAUGUGUCAAGGGCUGGUGUCAUCUUGAGAAAAGGAAGUAUAUCCAAUGAAAUUGCUGUAGAACAAAUGGUUUUCCAAAAGAGACUCCAGCAACGACUGAAAAAGAGUCCCAGAUACCCCGGGAUUGUCCAGGAGUUAAUCAAAGGACUGGAGUCUCACAUUGAGGAUCCUGAGAGGUUCAGGAACUGUCUCCUCCCUGUGUACCACGCCUGGCCGAUGUGACCUGCAGCUGUCAGUUCAUUUUAGGAGAGUCUGCUGUGCAUGCUGCUGGGGAUCGAGAUGCUGCAGGUUUGACAGCCUCGCUCUAUGCAAAAACACCUUGGUCUAAGUAGUGUUGGGGCUGCCCUCUGAUCCUGACUGACAUGGAUGUGGUGGAGAAGUCAGAGAGCCUGUCCAAGCCAGGUAGAGUUCCUCUCUGGCCUGCUCUUCCACACCAUCAACUGGUUUAGAGAGAAAUCCCUGGCUACGCUCCUCCUCUAGCCAACGUUGAUGGGGAGAGUACAGAGGGAGCUCCCGUGUCUAGCUCCACUGCUAUUCCAAAGAAGGGAAAGAAAAUAUAUAUUUUUUAAACUUUUUCCUGAGAUGAGAUUCAACACUUAUUGUGGUGCCACAAUCUGCCACAAUCACUUCCAGACUCUGCUGUCUAAAAACCAGGGGGUGGUGGACACCCCAGGUCCUGAUGUGAAGGAGCACCAGCUGCUGUCCUCAGCCUACCAGCUCCUCCUACAGUUCCUACACACCACCUUCAGCUGGUCAGUCACACUUCAACACAACACCACCUGCACACUCCUGCCUUUCAGGACAAUAUCAAAUGACAAUUACUCAGGGUUUGUCAACUGUGGUCCUGGAGAGGUUGGUGUUGGCUUGUUUUGUUUCAGCCCAGCUCUAACACACCUGAUUCAACAAAUGAGAAUCAGGUGUGUUAGUGAUCUGCAACAAAAGCCUGCAGCUAUUGUGUGUUAGGUCUGGUUUUUCCCAACCAGAGCACCAUAGCCUGCUGAAGAGAGCUCUGGGACUGCUGGCUGACCGCCUGAAAGAGGGAGGGCCUGAACUGACCUUGGACCAGCUCAUCCAUUGAGAGACACAGCUUUAAGUACAUCCUGAACUUCCGCAGUACAGUGCCCAGCCUCAGCAUAGCUCUCUGUCUCUCUCAGCUGCUCACCACUGUGGCUGAGAGAGGAGGGCACCAGGCUACAAACAGGGAGCAGACUACAACCCUAGCCCGGCAGUUCCUGUGCCAGGAGUUGGUGACUACGAGCGGAGACCGAGAGAACCAAAGAGGACCCAAAGACAACGAGACUCUCCAAACUCUCCUCAGGCAGUGGAGGAGAUAGCUGGAGAGGGCAUCCCUGAGAUCCUCAACGCAGUAGCCAAAGACGCCAGCUCUAGAACUUGGCCCACUCUCAACAGGGUGAGGAGAUCCUCUCUCAACACUCAAAGGGGAGUUAUGAAGAGGAGGAAGGCUCCCUGCUGCCUCAGGAGCAGUCAGAAGAUGAGGCCCAGGAGAGUGACUCUGAGGAGAAGAAGAAUGGCAACAGGAAGGAAGAGGGGGAUAACGAUGAAAUUGCAGAUGACUCUGAUAAUUAGGACAAUGUGUAGGAAUACUGUCAACUCUGUGAACUCUUGACCUUUGUGUCAACAAACUCUAACCUUGAUUAACCCAUAUCCCUUUGCACCUUCAGAUAGGAAUAGGUCAGGGAGAACCAAGAGAGGAUUCCUUGUGCGUUGCUGCCAUUGAGAAAAUGGGCAAUUAGGGGAUUACUGUGGAAGGAGGGGUCACUAUGUUAGUGGAUGUUCAAAACGCUGCAAACAGCAUUAGAGUGCUGCAUUUUUUCAAACACUAAUGUCUGAGGCUGAGAAAGGGUCUUAUGAAAUUGUGACGUUUUGGAAAGCUGUUGAGUGCAGAAAAGUUAUUUACUUUAAAGAUACAGUAUGUUGCAAUGAAAUACUUCAACUGUAAAAUAUUAUUAUUCAUGUAUAAGUCUCUCUUUAAAUAUUUUACAGAUUUUUUCUAUAAAUAUGUUAAUCAAGUUUAGCAUGUUUUAAAGUAACUCCCCAGUUAAAAUCUCACUUUUAAAAGUUAACAUUCUGUUAACUCAUAUCCAAAUAAUGUUGUUGACUCGUCCUAUACUCGUAUUUGUAGCCAAAGCAUAAAUUGGAGAAGAAACACUUAAAAAACCCCACCUCAAACUUUUUCUCAAACAGACCGUUUAAAUAAAUGCAUGUUAUUUCCUCAUAGAGUAUGUCAUCUCCCUUAGGAUGAGCUGGCCAAUCAGCGCUCUACUAAUAUAAUAAUAUAAAUAAUAUAAUUUUUUAUGACUGGUACGGUAUACCAGCCUGGUAACAUAGACUAGACGUAAAUAUAGUAAAUGUAAAUCCGGAACACUCCAAUUAGUAUGAUAUGUUACUUCAUAAGACAGAUGGUUACAAAAGUGGGGUGGGUGGGUAGGGACAUAACACAAUGUCUAGCAACCCAAAGGUUGCGAGUUUGAAUCUCAUCACAUACAUCUUUAGCUUUUUAGCUAAUUAGCAACCUUUCAACUACUUUAAUACAUUUUUAGCUACAUUGAAAUGACUUAGCAUGUUAUCUAACCCUUUCCCUAGCCCUAAACAACGUAACCCUUUUAGCUAACCCAUCUCCAUCUCUUAACCAAACUCCUAAACAUAACCCUAACCUUAACCCUAGUGCCUAAGUCCUAGCCCAGCUAACACUAGCCAGCUAGCUAACGUUAUCCACCUAGCUAGAAUUCGUAACAUAUCAUACAUUUUGCAAAUUUGUAACAUAUAAUACGAAUUGUAAAUCGUAACAUAUAAUACGAAAUGGGGGAAGGACAUCCACAAAUUAACACAUACAUUAUGAAACAUAUCAUAUGCUGUAUGGAGGGUCUCGAUUUACAUACAGAAUAAUACAAAAUGCUCUGAGACCAGGUUGCAGCAGGCCUGGCUACAACUCUGAUGAUAGAGCUAAAUGUGCGCAAUUGUUUUGGAAUAAUCAAAAAUGUGUAGUUCUGACUAUGCUCUUCAAGAAGUGAUGCUAUUAAAAGCAAAGAGUUAUCAUAUAUAAUGUGACGUACUGUAUCAUUCAAAUAUAUUCAAGUUAGUCUUGUUUCCAGUCUCACAAGCUUGAUUGAUUGCCUGAAACUGUAGUAGAUAAUGCAAUGGGCUCAUUUGAGUGGUAAGGCGAAAACAGCCAACAGUAGACGAAGGUUGAGGAGUGAAGUUGGGGGAGGUGCAUCUGUUGAAAAAACUGAAAGUAGGACACUAACCACAUUUCCAUCCACAGUUUUGCGAGUAAAGUCAUACCGUAUAUAAAAAAAAUCACGACAGCUGUGAUGCAAAAAAGACGUUUCGGUAGAAUUUGCUAAAUGCCAACAGAAAAUUUGUUUGCUCGAUAUGGUGGGAUCUUUUUGUGUCUAAAAUUAAUAUUGCGAGAAAGGUCGGUGAAAACUCCUUUAUGCGCAAAUAUGAAUAUAAUCACCAUCAUAUUGAAGUAAACUUAGUCACACGAUAUGGUGUGUGUGGUCCUCCCACUACGACUCAGGAAACCAAGUAGUUUAUAAGGCUACAGAUGAAAUUAUGUAUGAUGAACUUCACAGGGUGGUGAAUGUGCACAGUGAUCUUGAUGCUCCAAUUACAAUAAAUAUCGAGGGUCUUAUUCUGGUUACAUGAUGAUCGAUGCUUAAAUAUUCUGGCUCUUAUCCAUAAUAAACUCAUCAUGUAGACUAGCCUACCCGCACUGUAUCUGCGAGCUGUUGGCUACAGCGCAUGUGCCAAAACCAUAGUAAGGCACAUUUGUUAUUUAACUCAUCAGUUUUGUGACUAAACUAUCGGUAGGGUUGAAAAUACGAUGGAAACGUUUAACUUUCGAUUUUGAAAACUUCAGUGAAAAGACAAUUCCGUGUGCACUGUCAUCAUGCACAUAUUUUUAUCCGCAACAAGUCCAUGAAAUUGAAACACCAUUGAUGAGAAAAUGUACAUGCUUUCUUUAUGCGGAUUCUAGAAUAUUCGCAUGAAAAUCUGUCGUCAAUUGGAUGGAAACCUGGCUACUGAUGUGGUUUUCCAACAACAAGGCUAAGUACAACAUGGCAGUGUUGCCAUUGUUUAUGAAGGUUGUUCUUCAUGUCGAAAUAAAUGUCUAUAAUCCCCA